UUAGAAUAAUAUUUAUAUUUUAGAAAAUAAUCAAUUUAAAUUAGUUAGAAUAAUAAAAAUCUAAAUUUACGAAUAUUUUAUUAAUUACUUUGAUCCAUUUGAAUUUUAUCUUUCCAAUUUUGUUAACCUAAUUUUACACUAUAAAUUGUCACAAUUUCUACACUUUUAGGGGACGGCUCUCACUACCGACAAUUUCGUGACCCUUCUUUUUUGAACAUUCUUUCUACUCUGUAAAUAAACCCUUUCACGUAACAAUAACAACUAACAAUUAACCCUUAUUUUCUCGAUACUCUUUCUGCACAACAAGUAACCCUUAUUUUUUCUCAUUCUCACAAAAAAUCACUUUUUUCAAUUACACCAAACUUCAUGGAGCCUGCAAGAAAAGAUUCUAGCACCAACAUUCAGAAUAAGCCUUUAUUAUAAACCAUCACAGCACAAUACAAAGGUUGCAACACCAUAUAACAUAAUUUGUGCAAAAUUUUGUUUUUUUUCUUUCUUUGGUUGUUGUUCUGAGUUACAGGAAACAAGAAGAAGGAGAAUCCAUAUCACCACCGCGUGGAGUUGUCCCGAUCGCCCCUCGUACAUCGAAGGCUCAGCACGGACAAAAGAUCUUCGCCGUGGAUCCACCAUUCAGCUCCGCCGUUUCCGGCCCAGUCAACGCCGACGACUACACCACCGCCACGCAUCUACGAUGGAAACACGGUAUGUCGUCUUUCGAUGUCGAUUUGUUUUUUUGACUGAUAUCUAUUUCGGGUUCUUGUUGAAGAUAGAUAGACAGAUAUGGAGGGAAGAUCAUUAUGGUUCUGCCCUUUGUAGUAAGAGAAAUUGAUUUUUGUGAAAAAGAAAUUGAGGAAGGAGAGGUCAAGAAUUCACGCCUACACACCAACAGCCGGAAUCGCAACAACCGUGAAUCUGACAGCACCGACAACCUCCGGCCGAUACGCUCAUCGCCCAGCCGCCGCAUCCAAACCGGAACCACCUACAGAUUCCGGCGCCUCAUCAUCAGCAUCGCACCAACAACCCUCCACCGACGCAGUGCCACGAACAUACGGUCGAUUAAUCUCUUCUAAUCACUGUUGAUUUCUUGUUUUCUAUGAUUUUGUUUGUUUGUUUGAUUUAGAUUGAGGCUUUGGGAAUUGUAAGAAGAGGAUUUUUUUUGGCUCUGAGAGAAAAGAGGAAGGCAAGCGUGAAUGAGAAAGAAGUCCCGUCAGAUUUUAUUUCCAUCAUAAUUUGGUAUAUUUUUUUUUGUUUUUGGUUUCUAAUUAUUUAAUUUUGAUAAGUGAUACUUUUUCCAUGAACCCUUGAGAUUAGAAAUUAGAGUUAUAUUGGUUUAUUAUUUCUAUUUAAUAAUUGUGCCAUUUUUUUUUUCCUAUUUUAGCGUACUGUUACGAUUACAUGUGUAUAACAAACCCAUUUGUUUGUUUUUACAUUAGGUGUUAGAUCUUUAGCAUUUUAAAACAAGACAUGUUCUUCUUGUUAACAAAAUGUGGUACAUUUUAUAGAUUAGAAUUUUAAUUCAAUAUUUACUAUUUCAUUAUACUAAAAAACAUCAUGUAUUAAAUAAACAAAUUGUUAUCUUAGAGUUUAGUUUUUUUUUCCUUAUUACUAAAAACAUCUAACCCAUUCAAAAAACACUAAAAAUUUAACUUCACAUAUAAUUCAAUUGUUAGAUUUAUUCUUGAUAAUAUUUAUUCAUAUUUUUGUCAUUAUUCAUAAUUUUAUAUAUUCAUACUAUCAUUUUUUUUUUAUUGCGAGGUACGUUCGAACUGCUUAUCUAUUCUCGGGGUAUUCGCAAAUUCAUCCUCACUCUCACCACGAGAUCUCCGAUAAUCCAGAUCUAAUGUCCAAGAGCUGCACCUCUACCAUGCACCUUCACAAGGGAGCCACACAAGAUCUCAAGGUUAACCAAAAUCCUUCACCCAUGCGCCAUGCCAAUCGAAAAGCUAAGUUCCUGAAUUCAUAUUUUAUUUGAUAUCAUUUUAUUUUGCCUCUUUUAAUUAAAAUAGGAUUAGCUUCAAUCGCCAAUGAAUUGGUAAUACACUCACAUUUUUCUGCCGUUGCCUUUGCCAUUUUUCAGGAUUAACCCCGAGACUUCCUCCGACUGUCAACCAUGUCAGAUCAAAUUCAAAGCUAAGUGCCUUUUAUUUAUUUAUUUUAAUUCCUUUUAUCUUUUUAUUUUUAGGGUUAGUAAUGUUUGCCUCCGAACCGAUAAUGCGCUCACCCUAUUUUUGUUUUUCACCUUUUCAGGGUUUGUCAAUUGCCAAAGCCUCGAGUAUCGGUAACCCUAAACCCUGCUUUAUUAUUACUUGUGUCAAACCCUGAUUAAGGGAUCCACUGGUUUCAUUGUCCCCUCUCCCAUAUUUACUGUUGUUUUUGCCUUACAUUAUCUGCGUGGCUAGUAAUUUAGGGAGUGAUAACCUCGAAUUGAACCUAGAAUGACUAAUUACAAGAUAAAUAACUGAAUCAAAUCACGUGAUUGGUGCACACACGCACGCUUUUGGGUAACCUCUAUGUUGCCUGUUGCCUUUGUGUUUUUUGCAGAAUAAGCCAUGUCCCUCGAAUUUGAGGAUACCUCAGCCAUGCUGCCUCGAUAAUUAAAGGUCAUACGACCCUAAAUGAUGCUGCCUUCGAUACACAAAUAUGACCUCGACCCUCGGAAGUUGCCUACGGAAAAAGGCUGAGGUAUCUUCUGGCUGCCUACGAAAAGGCUUAUUCUGAUCCUUCCCCUUAGACUACCUGCCCCUCUAUGGCAUGGGUCAGUCUUUGGGCGAACGAUAACUCGACGACCCUUCAACCUCCAAACGAAAGGCUUCCUGCCCUCUUAUGGCAAGGAUUGACCCUUUCAUUCUGAAAGGCUAAAAAGAGACCUAUCAUCUGAGUUUAAGGUAAUUGCCCCUAAUUGCCUUGCAAUGCUCAAUUUUCAUAUUCUUUCUCACAAUUCUUCAAAAACUGGCUACGCUCAUUUACGAGCUAAAGUCCACUUUUUUUCUUUCAUCUACUUUUUCUAAAGACAAACGAGCAAGCAAAGCAAUUAAGAGCCCAUGGAAAACCAUGGAUGCAAAGGGUGCCUUACACCUUCCCUUUGCAUAAAUUACCCCCCGAACUCAGAUUUCUUUAAAAGGUUUUUUUCUGUUUCUUUUUGCCUUUCUGAUUUAGUUUGGAUAAAAUAAAAGUCGGUGGCGACUCAUGCUUAACCGCGACAUUUCGAUCGAUAUAAAAGUCAGUUCACCGUAUUACAGAACUGGCGACUCUGCUGGGGAUAAAUUUCGAUAAAAGAGGGGUUACCUUAAAAGUUUAGGAUUCACCUUAAAUGUUUUCUAUUGUUUGCUUUGUUUGCUUUAAUUUUGCAGGGCUGUUUUGGGUAUUUUGCUGUGUGAAAGAUCCUAACCCGGAUCUGAGUACCUUAGGUAUAUGGCAUGAGAUCAAGGAGACUGCACAGCGUAUACUGAUGUGGUUGAUCUGAUGGCCAUCGUUAGUGUGACACAUUGGUUUGUCCUGGUGUUCCUUGGGAUCCGACCUGAGGAAAUGCUUGGCUGCCGCGUGGUGUCAUUAAGCACUAAUUCGCCCUUAGAACCUUAGUCGAACUUGACUUUAGCCUGUUAGAAAGUAGCGAGAUGGCUGGCUUUGGUUCCGACUGAAGUUGGUUGAUACUCGAAGCUACACUCAUAUGGACUGGACUUUCAGGACCUUUUCGGUUGGCGAUUCGAUUGCCGAACUGAGAUAAGCGCCUUCGAGAAAGGUCAAUGAUAUGAGCUCCCUAGAACCCGAUCUUUAUAUAGGACAGGUUUGAACCAACUAAACUUCAGGAGGAGGGUACAUACCUUUUGACCACGUGCAAGCCUAACCAUAAGGCAAAAUUGUGUGGCUUGUGUGACUUGCGUGACUUGUUUAUGUUUGCUACUAGCCUUCUUUUCCUUGCAGGUUUUGUUAAAAGGACUUGUUUGUCCUUACUACCCUACACUAUGCCUAAUGAACUGCAUUUGCAUAACUUCAUGACAUCAUGACAUCAUAAGCAUAACAUGAUUUAACUGACCCUUUUCAAGGAUCUUAGGGAUUUAGGGCGCACUAUUUCAGGUGCUCUUAUCAAGGACUGAAUUCCUAAUCAAGGGGCAAGAGGAUUUAUUUUCCUUAAGCCGCAUGCCUUCCAAUUCAAAGACUCAGUACCUAUCAAGGGGCAAGAGGAUUUAUUUUCCUCUAGCCAUGUAUCUUAAAAUUCAGAAGUCUCCCGAAUCAGAGGCGAUGACCCACUCGAUAUGGUGAGCUUGAUUCUCAAAGAAAGACGUUCAGAGACAAAGUUCAGAUUUCUUCAAAUAAGGACGCGGCCAAAUCAUUUUCUAAUGUUGCUAACUAAAUGCCUAAAGAUCCUUGAAAGUAUUGCAUUUGCAUUCAUAACAUCGCAUAACAGGUUUCUUACCACAGGUUUCUCACCUCCUUGCUGUUUAUUUCAGCAUCAUGAAUCUCGAGCAAUCAGUCAAAAAUCUUCAGGCUCAGAAUAACCAGUUCCAGAAAAUAAUUUUUCACUUGGCCAAGGGGCAAGAAGAAUUGAAGGCACUUCAGAUAGAGAAAGAGAAGAAUCAAUAUAAGCAUCAAGGUGGUCAAGAUAAUCAGAGAUCCAAGCCUAAGCGGUCAUUUACUCCAUUACGUAUACCGCUGUCUCAAGUUCUCCAACAACUGCUCAAUCAGAAUUUGAUAACUCUACUACCUCCAUAUUCAUUUCCUACCAACCCCACUACUGGGUAUAAGUACCAUGCGAGAUGCGCUUAUCAUUCGAAUAGUCCUGGUCAUGAUACGAAGGAUUGUUGGCAAUUGAAACACAAGAUUCAAGACUUAAUUGAUGAAAAGAUCAUUGACUUCAACUCACCUGAAGAACCUCACAUGACUAAGGCUGUGUACAAUCGGAAAGGUCGCAAUGAACACAAUCAAUCUGUGGGGGCAUUUCUGAUCUCUACACCAAUUCCACAACAAAGGCGCAAGUCAGAGGUACCUAAACGACAGUUCACAAAGAUCAACAUGACUUUGGCUGAAGCAUUACAACAGAUGUUGAAGAAAGGGCUAAUUACUUUGAGGGAUCCUCCUGUGAAGCCCAACACUUUCGCUCCUAGCUAUAAGCCUAAUGCGAGGUGCGCGUAUCACUCCAAUAGCCCUGGACAUGAUACGAAUGAUUGUUGGCCAUUAAAGAACAAGAUUCAAGACAUGAUCGAUGCUGGUGAAAUUGAAUUCCCUCAUCCCAAGACUCCUGUAAUAAUCACUGCUCCCAUGCACAAUCACGACAAGACUGAUUAAUGUCAGAGUGGAUGAACUUUAGAUCAUUAGAUUUACUUUCAUUUGCAAUUUCUAUUCUGUUUGUUUAAACAUUCAAAAUUAUGAUAGACAUUAUCUGUCUUAAUAAUCAUCAUCAGUGCAUUGCAUAUGUUUGUCUUGAAUAAAUUAUUUCGUUAUCACUCAUUUUAAAUUAUGUUUUUACUUUGCAUGUGUUUUGUGAUAUUCAACUCCCGCUAAAGUUGUAAGCCUUUUAAGGGAGGAUGACGAAAACGAUACCGCAACCUCAUACAGUAUGCUUUUGAGCGGACUAUGCUGACGAUGUACAGGCAUUGUUUCAAUUCCUAAACAGCGGAGAUAUAAGGAUGUUAAUCCCUCGUCAACCCCCUUUGAGCCUAAGAAGUAGAAGUUUCUUUUUUUUUGUAUUGAAACCCUUGAUCAUAACCUGGGGCAGGGUAGUUCUCAGUUUAAUUUGGCUGUGCAUUCUAUUUUAAGAUAAUCACUCAUUACACCUUUCAACAAGGAUUUCAAUCACAAGCAUUCAUCCGCACACAUCAAAGGAGUGUUGGAGAUGUCAAUGAAAAGACAAUGAUGGUUCAUCAAUCAUCAAACAAGGCAGUCAAUAUCUUUCGAAAGGGAAAAAAAUGAAAAAACAUAUACACCAAGAAAAGCCUGCUAAGUCAAGAAUCAAAAAGGUGACUUAGGCAAAAAUCAAGGCAUCCCGCUGACUGUAAUCUAAAAAGAAAAAAAAACAGUUCAGGCAAAAAUUAGGGAUAUCAAAAGGAUGAAAACAGAGAAGUCAAUAAGUUCCUGAACAACACAAUGUUGUAACUACCAAAAGGAAGAAGUGACUGCCAUCUCAAAAGUUAUCUUUGCUUGUGAACUAUCAUCAUUAUCAAAGGUGCAAAUCCAAAAGUUUCUUGGAACCUGAAUGCAUAAGUUUGAUUUAGCUGAGCUUAGGACUGAAGAUCAUCACGAAGAGGGGUGGGUACAAUAAACUUUGAGCCAUUAUCCUUUGUUUCUUAAAACCGUGAACCAAGCCACGUUACAACCCUUGAAAGUCCUAAUUGAAGCAUGGUUAGUUCGAAAGCGUACUGUCACCAAAAGGGUAUCCUGACUCCUUAAGGUUUACCAAAAAUGCUGAGUUGAUAUUUCUUUUUUACAAACAUCACAUUGUUACAAAUAUCAUGCUUUUACAAAUGUCAUGCUUUAUUACAUCCUGUUUUAAAUGUUUCAAAAAAACUCAAGACAAACGUAUGCAUUGCAUCUCACGAAUUCAUUAUUAAACAUAUUCUGCUACAUAAUUUCAAAAGUUAGCAUCAGAAAAAACUUGCACAGGGUACAACUAAUGACUGAAAGUUAUCCCGAUAGACAAAAUUACUCCGAGAAGCGAUGUCUCUACGUAUACAAGGGGCAUGGCCCGUUUUGCCCAAUCAAUCUGGGGCAAUCAAGUCAAGAUUCCGAGAAUCUCUUAUGGAUACUCGAGCAAUCAGGGGCACGCAUCCAAGUAUACCUAAAGAUACCCCCCAAUCAACAUGGGACAUUGUCUUGAGCCUAUGAGCGCUGGGAGCAUAUCACCCAUAGUGUACCUUUCAUAAAGUCCUCGCGAGGCGAAUCUUACCAAAGUUCCUGCUAACUGGGGAAAAUCUAUGCAAGUCCAAUUUGACAUCUUCGAUUAACACUCAUUGGCACGUUCUAAUCAACACAGAUCCAGGAAUGACAAGUGCUAUAAUACUGGGGGCAACUCUCAAGACACCCAUGUCCCCCCACAGAGCCAGGUUCAUAAAAUCACAUCCCCACAGAGCCAGGUUCAUAAAAUCACAUCCCCGCAGAGCCAGGUUCAUAAAAUCACAUCCCCAACAGAGUUGACAUCUUCAACACCACCGACACUUUGUUCUUCUCCAACAUGGCUUACUAAUAUCUUUCAUCCCCAGUCAGGAUCCAUCAAAUUACUAUUCAUCCCCAAGCAGAAGUCAUAAAUCCCCAGCUAAACAUCUUCAAGACAAGACCAGACGUCAAAAUCACAAAGACAUAGAGAUUUAUUUUCUCGAAAAAGACAACAUAAAUCAUAUUUCGCAUACCAUACGGCACAAACAUAUUCAUACAUCGCAUACAUCACCUCAUAAACAUACAAAGUCUCUCAUUUAUUUUGAGGUACUCAUUACAUAACACAUGCAUCAUGACAUAAGAAAACUAACCUUUACUUUUCAGGAUAUUGCUGUCUCUGUUUUCAAAGUUAAGUCGACACCUUUGACGGUUCCUUAACGACCUUUCAGAAUUAAGUCGAUACCUUUGACGGUUCCUUAAUAAUCCAUUUCAAAGUUAAGUCGACACCUUUGACGGUUCCUUAACGACCUUUCAGAAUUAAGUCGAUACCUUUGACGGUUCCUUAAUGAUCAACAUUUCAGAUUUAAGUCGAUACCUUUGACGGUUCCUUAAUGAUCUACCUUUGGAAGUUAAGUCGAUACCUUUGACGGUUCCUUAAUGAUCCACCUUCAUAUCUGAGUCGAUACCUUUGACGGUGCCUCAGUGAUAUGCUUCGAAUUUAAGUCGAUACCUUUGACGGUUCCUUAAUGAUCUAUCUCCAGAGUUAAGUCGACACCUUUGACGGUUCCUUAACAACCUUCCAGAAUUAAGUCGAUACCUUUGACGGUUCCUUAAUAAUCCAAUGCAGAGUUAAGUCGACACCUUUGACGGUUCCUUAACAACCUACUUCAAAUGUAAGUCGAUACCUUUGACGGUUCCUUAUACAAUCUACCUUCAUAUCUGAGUCGAUACCUUUGACGGUGCCUCAGUGAUAUGCUUCGAAUUUAAGUCGAUACCUUUGACGGUUCCUUAAAUAAUCCAAUUCAGACUUGAGUCAAUACCUCAGACGGUUCCUCAAAAAAUCAACAUUCAAAGGCUAGAAGCAGAAACCUCGCAAUAAUCAAUACCCCAACAGCUAUUGGAUGGCAUCUUCAAAGCCCAUCUCUGACAAAAGUCCCUGCCUUAGCUAGGGCAAAUUUCUUGGUAUUCUAGUGUUCAAUCAUCUUCCACCUUCAGAUACCGACUGGCAUACAAACCACUCCACAUCUUCAGGUUUAAGAAAAUUGAACAGGGGCAGCUGUCAUACCCCAAAAUUUGCCCUCAUAUAUUUACAAACAUCAUUUUAUUUUGAAUAAAUGAAUUGGCAUAGUUGGUAAGAAUUUGAGCGUGAAAAGCACAAUAGCGAGAGGUCCCUGGUUCGAAUCUCACUUCUAACAUUUUUCCCUUUUAUUUAAUUCUAACUUUAUUUCACUUUUGUUCAAAAAAUGACAAAAAAUGUUUUUAUAUAUUUAAGUAUUAUUUUCAUAUUCAUUGUUUAUUAAAAAUACCUUUUUUACUUCAUUCAUAUUUUAUUCAAAAAUUAAAAAUAUUUAAAAAAAAAAAAAUUUUGCUUUUCUUUGCAUUUUAGAAUAAUAUUUAUAUUUUAGAAAAUAAUCAAUUUAAAUUAGUUAGAAUAAUAAAAAUCUAAAUUUACGAAUAUUUUAUUAAUUACUUUGAUCCAUUUGAAUUUUAUCUUUCCAAUUUUGUUAACCUAAUUUUACACUAUAAAUUGUCACAAUUUCUACACUUUUAGGGGACGGCUCUCACUACCGACAAUUUCGUGACCCUUCUUUUUUGAACAUUCUUUCUACUCUGUAAAUAAACCCUUUCACGUAACAAUAACAACUAACAAUUAACCCUUAUUUUCUCGAUACUCUUUCUGCACAACAAGUAACCCUUAUUUUUUCUCAUUCUCACAAAAAAUCACUUUUUUCAAUUACACCAAACUUCAUGGAGCCUGCAAGAAAAGAUUCUAGCACCAACAUUCAGAAUAAGCCUUUAUUAUAAACCAUCACAGCACAAUACAAAGGUUGCAACACCAUAUAACAUAAUUUGUGCAAAAUUUUGUUUUUUUUCUUUCUUUGGUUGUUGUUCUGAGUUACAGGAAACAAGAAGAAGGAGAAUCCAUAUCACCACCGCGUGGAGUUGUCCCGAUCGCCCCUCGUACAUCGAAGGCUCAGCACGGACAAAAGAUCUUCGCCGUGGAUCCACCAUUCAGCUCCGCCGUUUCCGGCCCAGUCAACGCCGACGACUACACCACCGCCACGCAUCUACGAUGGAAACACGGUAUGUCGUCUUUCGAUGUCGAUUUGUUUUUUUGACUGAUAUCUAUUUCGGGUUCUUGUUGAAGAUAGAUAGACAGAUAUGGAGGGAAGAUCAUUAUGGUUCUGCCCUUUGUAGUAAGAGAAAUUGAUUUUUGUGAAAAAGAAAUUGAGGAAGGAGAGGUCAAGAAUUCACGCCUACACACCAACAGCCGGAAUCGCAACAACCGUGAAUCUGACAGCACCGACAACCUCCGGCCGAUACGCUCAUCGCCCAGCCGCCGCAUCCAAACCGGAACCACCUACAGAUUCCGGCGCCUCAUCAUCAGCAUCGCACCAACAACCCUCCACCGACGCAGUGCCACGAACAUACGGUCGAUUAAUCUCUUCUAAUCACUGUUGAUUUCUUGUUUUCUAUGAUUUUGUUUGUUUGUUUGAUUUAGAUUGAGGCUUUGGGAAUUGUAAGAAGAGGAUUUUUUUUGGCUCUGAGAGAAAAGAGGAAGGCAAGCGUGAAUGAGAAAGAAGUCCCGUCAGAUUUUAUUUCCAUCAUAAUUUGGUAUAUUUUUUUUUGUUUUUGGUUUCUAAUUAUUUAAUUUUGAUAAGUGAUACUUUUUCCAUGAACCCUUGAGAUUAGAAAUUAGAGUUAUAUUGGUUUAUUAUUUCUAUUUAAUAAUUGUGCCAUUUUUUUUUUCCUAUUUUAGCGUACUGUUACGAUUACAUGUGUAUAACAAACCCAUUUGUUUGUUUUUACAUUAGGUGUUAGAUCUUUAGCAUUUUAAAACAAGACAUGUUCUUCUUGUUAACAAAAUGUGGUACAUUUUAUAGAUUAGAAUUUUAAUUCAAUAUUUACUAUUUCAUUAUACUAAAAAACAUCAUGUAUUAAAUAAACAAAUUGUUAUCUUAGAGUUUAGUUUUUUUUUCCUUAUUACUAAAAACAUCUAACCCAUUCAAAAAACACUAAAAAUUUAACUUCACAUAUAAUUCAAUUGUUAGAUUUAUUCUUGAUAAUAUUUAUUCAUAUUUUUGUCAUUAUUCAUAAUUUUAUAUAUUCAUACUAUCAUUUUUUUUUUAUUGCGAGGUACGUUCGAACUGCUUAUCUAUUCUCGGGGUAUUCGCAAAUUCAUCCUCACUCUCACCACGAGAUCUCCGAUAAUCCAGAUCUAAUGUCCAAGAGCUGCACCUCUACCAUGCACCUUCACAAGGGAGCCACACAAGAUCUCAAGGUUAACCAAAAUCCUUCACCCAUGCGCCAUGCCAAUCGAAAAGCUAAGUUCCUGAAUUCAUAUUUUAUUUGAUAUCAUUUUAUUUUGCCUCUUUUAAUUAAAAUAGGAUUAGCUUCAAUCGCCAAUGAAUUGGUAAUACACUCACAUUUUUCUGCCGUUGCCUUUGCCAUUUUUCAGGAUUAACCCCGAGACUUCCUCCGACUGUCAACCAUGUCAGAUCAAAUUCAAAGCUAAGUGCCUUUUAUUUAUUUAUUUUAAUUCCUUUUAUCUUUUUAUUUUUAGGGUUAGUAAUGUUUGCCUCCGAACCGAUAAUGCGCUCACCCUAUUUUUGUUUUUCACCUUUUCAGGGUUUGUCAAUUGCCAAAGCCUCGAGUAUCGGUAACCCUAAACCCUGCUUUAUUAUUACUUGUGUCAAACCCUGAUUAAGGGAUCCACUGGUUUCAUUGUCCCCUCUCCCAUAUUUACUGUUGUUUUUGCCUUACAUUAUCUGCGUGGCUAGUAAUUUAGGGAGUGAUAACCUCGAAUUGAACCUAGAAUGACUAAUUACAAGAUAAAUAACUGAAUCAAAUCACGUGAUUGGUGCACACACGCACGCUUUUGGGUAACCUCUAUGUUGCCUGUUGCCUUUGUGUUUUUUGCAGAAUAAGCCAUGUCCCUCGAAUUUGAGGAUACCUCAGCCAUGCUGCCUCGAUAAUUAAAGGUCAUACGACCCUAAAUGAUGCUGCCUUCGAUACACAAAUAUGACCUCGACCCUCGGAAGUUGCCUACGGAAAAAGGCUGAGGUAUCUUCUGGCUGCCUACGAAAAGGCUUAUUCUGAUCCUUCCCCUUAGACUACCUGCCCCUCUAUGGCAUGGGUCAGUCUUUGGGCGAACGAUAACUCGACGACCCUUCAACCUCCAAACGAAAGGCUUCCUGCCCUCUUAUGGCAAGGAUUGACCCUUUCAUUCUGAAAGGCUAAAAAGAGACCUAUCAUCUGAGUUUAAGGUAAUUGCCCCUAAUUGCCUUGCAAUGCUCAAUUUUCAUAUUCUUUCUCACAAUUCUUCAAAAACUGGCUACGCUCAUUUACGAGCUAAAGUCCACUUUUUUUCUUUCAUCUACUUUUUCUAAAGACAAACGAGCAAGCAAAGCAAUUAAGAGCCCAUGGAAAACCAUGGAUGCAAAGGGUGCCUUACACCUUCCCUUUGCAUAAAUUACCCCCCGAACUCAGAUUUCUUUAAAAGGUUUUUUUCUGUUUCUUUUUGCCUUUCUGAUUUAGUUUGGAUAAAAUAAAAGUCGGUGGCGACUCAUGCUUAACCGCGACAUUUCGAUCGAUAUAAAAGUCAGUUCACCGUAUUACAGAACUGGCGACUCUGCUGGGGAUAAAUUUCGAUAAAAGAGGGGUUACCUUAAAAGUUUAGGAUUCACCUUAAAUGUUUUCUAUUGUUUGCUUUGUUUGCUUUAAUUUUGCAGGGCUGUUUUGGGUAUUUUGCUGUGUGAAAGAUCCUAACCCGGAUCUGAGUACCUUAGGUAUAUGGCAUGAGAUCAAGGAGACUGCACAGCGUAUACUGAUGUGGUUGAUCUGAUGGCCAUCGUUAGUGUGACACAUUGGUUUGUUCUGUUGAAAUAUUUUAUACCUUAGUGCAUGACCGUUUCAUUAAUAAUUAUAAGAUUAUUGCUGUUAAUCACCUUAGUAGAAAAAUAGAAGUCAGCGUUCAUAUUUUGGGUACAGAUCAUUGGAGAAGGAUUCGGGACUUCCUAAAUCCUAACCUUAUUCUAGUGUCUAGAUUGGGAACAUUUGUGAAUGACUCAGUUAAAUUGUUGGUAUGUGCUACUGCACGGUUCAUUGUUUCUCUUGAUUUGGAGAAAGAGUCAUAUCAAAAACUCGCACUGCCGGUCUUUGAUGAUAUUACCUCUUUUUUGACCUUAGGGACAUUGCGGGGUUGUUUGUCUCUCCUUUUUGACAAGAGGGACGAGUUUUGUGACAUUUGGAUUAUGAAAGAAUACGAGGAUGACAAAGUGCUGAUGGACUGUGCGAUGAUGGGAAUAAAUAGUUUUGUUGUUUAUGAUCCCAUAAAUAAUAUUUUCAAGAUUCCUAAAUUUCAAUACAGCAACGAGGGUGAGAUGGCACCAGAAGUAUAUAUUGAAAGUUUUAUAUCACCUUUGUAGAUGUUGUGCAUCUUGACCUGGUUUAUAAAUUAACAUAUGAUCUUGUUAUUUGUUUUACGUUUAGUCGGAUUACUAUUUACUUCAUGGUAUAUGCAACUUGAGAAAUUAUUAUGUUUACUGUGGCUAUCUUAAUUAAUAACAAACUCUUUAGUGAUAUGUAUAUUAUGUGAUCAGCUAUUAAAAGGUGCGCCAUGUCACUGACUUAUGGUUAAUGAGGAAUGCUAUUAUCUUUGAUAAUGCCACUUUUAGCUUCUAAGCGGUAAUAUCCAACAUAAUGUUUUACUCUUGGAGAUGGAUGUAUAAUAGUGUUUCCGAUCCUAGGCUCAUUUUUUAUGAUUGGUAUAAAUUACCUUUGAACUAGUUCAACUCUUCUUAGAGUUUUUUCGAUGUAAGGGUUGCACCCCUAGUGCGAUUUCUAAUAUCAUUGCCUAUUAAAAAAAAGUUACAGCAUUGGCAAAAGACCACAUCUCUACCAUGUGCAUAUUGGUCUCAGUCUGUUACUUUUCUAACCACGUUAACCAAAAAACCUCAAAAUUUUAUUAAAUGAAUCAUUGUCAAAUUAGUUUUACUGAAUGUACUUGCAUAUUUUGACAAAAAUUAUCUCCACUUUUAAUUAUGUAUAUACGUAGUUUUAAAUUUCAAGGAACAACUUUGUCUUUAUAUUAACAAAAUGAAGGAAGAUAUUUGUACACUUUCAGAAUCUCACAACUUCAAAGAAUAAUUGAUGAAGCAGAAGGAAUUAAAAAUUUCAUUUCACUUCUUUUCCUACAUCUUUCUUUAUAUAUGUUUACUGUAAGUAUUUAAUUGAUGCGUCCUACCUUUCUUUGAUUUCGUGAUAGACUUGCAGUAUUUGCCAGAAGAAUUGGGUAAGUAUCUCUUUGAGGACUUCCGAGUCGGAUAAGUUGAGCUGUUAGAGAUUCCAUUAAGUAGGUGAUGAAGAAAUGAGGAUGAGUCAGCUAGGGAUCAUCAUGAUGAGCAAAUGGAGAAAAAAAGCUUUCUGAGCUGGAAUAAAGCCUUUAUGAUGCAUUAUUACAUUCAUGUACAAGGGAAAAAGAAGUUGAAUGUUUUGUUGAUAAGAAAAAAAAAGACAAAUCACUCCUACAUCAUCCAAAUGCCCCCAGCUCUGUUGUUAAACUCGGAUAACGGCGCGUCGCGACCCUUCGAAAUAUUGGAACGGAACGGGAACGCAGAAUGGAACGCAAAAUAUUGUAGGCAUAUUACACAUAUUGGUGUUCAACACAAGCAUGAUAUCAAUAUCCUAGAUAUGGACACCAUUUUAUCUUUUUCUUACCUUAUUACUACAAGAGAAUUUAGAAUGGUUAACAUAUAAGAAAGUUGGAAUGCCAGAUGAUAAACCUUGUUCUGUAGCUCCAUUUCAACAGUUGCUGUGAAUCUGAGGGGCUUUGGCUUGCUUAAUUACCACCAUCUCCAAAGGGUUGGCCGACAACAUGUCAUAUACACACACCAUGGAAUCUUGCUCCUCAAGAUACAUAAACCUUUCUCUCAGCCUCUAA